GACGAACGUUGGCGGUGCGCUUAAUGCAUGCAAGUCGAGCGAGAAGCAGUUGUUCCGUAAGGUUCGACUGUGGACAGCGGCGAACGGGUGCGUAACACGUGAGAAACCUGCCCCCCAGACCGGGAUAGCCCAGGGAAACUUGGAUUAAUACCGGAUACUCUCCUCGGACCGCAUGGUCUGUUGAGGAAACAGUCCGCUGCUGGGGGAUGGUCUCGCGGCCUAUCAGGUAGUUGGUGAGGUAACGGCUCACCAAGCCGAAGACGGGUAGCUGGUCUGAGAGGACGAUCAGCCACACUGGAACUGAGACACGGUCCAGACUCCUACGGGAGGCAGCAGCAGGGAAUAUUGCACAAUGGGCGAAAGCCUGAUGCAGCGACACCGCGUGCGGGAUGAAGGCCUUCGGGUUGUAAACCGCUUUUCAGGAGGGAAGAAACUGACGGUACCUCCAGAAGAAGCUCCGGCCAACUACGUGCCAGCAGCCGCGGUAAU
rnacentral:rRNA from 1 species